CGUUUCCUCCAUGUCUCAUCCUGAUAUGGAUUUUGGCCCACCGCUUGGUGGGCUUCUUCUU
rnacentral:ncRNA from 1 species